UACGGAAGGCAGCACUGGGGAAUAUUGCACAAUGGGCGCAAGCCUGAUGCAGCCAUGCCGCGUGUAUGAAGAAGGCCUUCGGGUUGUAAAGUACUUUCAGUCGUGAGGAAGGUGUUAAGGUUAAUAACCUUAGCAAUUGACGUUAGCGACAGAAGAAGCACCGGCUAACUCCGUGCCAGCAGCCGCGGUAAUACGGAGGGUGCGAGCGUUAAUCGGAAUUACUGGGCGUAAAGGGCACGCAGGCGGUUAAUUAAGUUGGAUGUGAAAUCCCCGGGCUUAACCUGGGAAUGGCAUUCAAGACUGGUUAGCUAGAGUCUUGUAGAGGGGGUAGAAUUCCAUGUGUAGCGGUGAAAUGCGUAGAGAUGUGGAGGAAUACCGGUGGCGAAGGCGGCCCCUGGACAAAGACUGACGCUCAUGUGCGAAAGCGUGGGGAGCAAACAGGGAUUAGAUACC
rnacentral:rRNA from 1 species